AACCAUCUGUCCCUGUUCCUUCUGAUGUUUCAGAAUUCAGUGGCCUUUGAGGAUGUGGCUGUGAGCUUCACUCAGGAGGAGUGGGCUUUGCUGGAUCCUUCCCAGAAGAGUCUCUACAGGGAUGUGAUGCAGGAAACCUUCAAGAACCUGACCUCUGUAGGAAAAACAUGGAAAGUUCAGAACAUUGAAGAUGAGUUCAAAAAUCCCAGGAGAAAUCUAAGAGA
rnacentral:sRNA from 1 species